GCCAACUGGCAGGGUAUCCCUGUGGAAGCGGGGCUUCCUGGAUGCCUACCUGCCCCUGAGUGGCUGCUGUUCCCCCAGAAGCGGGAGGCCUUCUGUCAGCUGCUGCAGCUCAUGAAGAACAAGCACUCCAAGCAGGACGAGCCCGACAUGAUCUCCGUCUUCAUAGGCACCUGGAACAUGGGAAGUGUACCACCUGCAAAAAACGUGACAUCCUGGUUCACAUCGAAGGGUCUGGGGAAGACCCUGGACGAGGUCACAGUGACCAUACCCCAUGACAUCUAUGUCUUUGGGACCCAGGAGAACUCAGUGGGUGACCGCGAGUGGCUGGACCUACUGCGCGGGGGCCUCAAGGAGCUUACGGAUCUGGAUUACCGCCCGGUGAGGGGGGGUCAUCUUGACCAGGACCCUGUCCUCACACACCACCUCCAAACUAUCCUACUUGACUUCAUGGGCAACCCUGGGAGCACAGCUUCACUGGCUUUUUCUCUGGUCCCUGAGCAUAUCC
rnacentral:sRNA from 1 species